UUAAUGUCCCAACUGAAAUUUCAAGCUCUGAAACUGCAUUGAUAAGGGUGAAAUGUGUUUACAAUGAUCCUUUGACAAAAGGCUCGGUGACUGUUGGAAGUGAUGAAGUUAGGAUUAGAAGACCUGAUGAAGCUGGACAACAAAGUGCAUCAGUUGAAGUGGAUAGGCAACAGAACAGGCUGCGUGCGGCUGAGGCGAUGCUCCUAGCGCGAACUACGGCUGAGAAAGGAGACCUGUCUGGUGCAGCAUCUAUUCUUGAAAACUGUCGCAAGGUGUUGUCAGAAACUGUUUCGGCCAAGUCUCAUGAUCGGCUCUGCAUUGCACUUGAUGCUGAGCUUAAAGAAAUGCAAGAGAGACUGGCAAGCAGACAUGUGUAUGAAGCAUCAGGAAGGGCAUAUAUUCUUUCAGGACUAAGCUCACACUCAUGGCAGAGAGCAACAGCACGAGGUGACUCGACGGAUGGUUCAAGCCUGGUUCAGGCCUAUCAAACCCCGUCAAUGACCGAGAUGCUGAAUCGGUCUCAGGCUUCCCUACUAGGUAGUUCUUCAGCUCAGAGGCUCAUUCGACCUGUUUUAUCAUUUGCAUCACAUCCAAAGCCAAGGUGACCUUGCGACACCAAGAUAUGGAGUUUUCUCAAAGAUAACUGUUUUUCAUUGGUCUCCUUGAUGCUAUAGCUGUGCUUAUUUGUGUUUUGGGCCGGGGAAAAGUUAAUAGGUAAGAAACAGUUUUGGGUGUCAUUAUCUUCCUGUCUCAAUUAUGUAAAGCAAUAAACAUUGGUGAAGCGUGGAAAGUAUAAUGGGGUCAAGGUAAGGGGUAAACGGAGUAGGAUAAUCCAACUUUUGCUUUUUGUUGUUUCUUUUUCACCUUGUGGGUAUCAUUGGGGGUGGUGUACAUAAGGAAAGAUGGAUUUUCAUCUGAGAGAGAAGCCGGUAUAAGUUUGUAAUUGUGGAAAUAUUUUGUGAACUGCGCAGCUAUUACAUAAGAAUGUGAUUCUUUCACGGAGUUUUAAUAAUCAUGCAGUGGUAUGACUGGUACUAAUUCUUCAGCCACUUGAUAAAAUGGACUCUCUCUUUACGCAACUGAGAUCAUGAUAAGCAUGCAAAAAGUCACUCAAGAUGGUAUGGUACUACUAUCAUGGGAUGGAAAAGAUGAAACAUAUAUUAUUGUUUAAUUUUAGGAAAAGAUGAACUUCAAAGUUGACCUUCCGUGGAGACUUGUGCUUCUCCUCAUUCAUUACUAGUCCAGAGAACAAAAGCUAGCACUACAGUGCUUUGACAUUGCACCGGAUUGUUGCCAAGAAAUACACUACUGUACUGUCCUACUGUACUGUAAAAGAUGGUGUGGUGCAUUAUUCUAAACGGUCCAUACCCUUUUCCAGCCUCUCAAUUGACUUUAAAAACUUUGGGGAUUGAUAAAGAUGGUCAUGAUCCUUUAUUUUUUUCAUGAUCCUUUAUUGAUUCACUUUUUUGUUGCAUGAAAUGUCUCAUAACGUAGAAAGCUUUAAAAAAAUAUUGGGUACUCUUUAGCUUUUUGUUCCGUUACGUCUUUUCAUACGAUAAGGGGAAAUUAAUUCUUAUCUUUGCCGCGGGCGGGCUCACAUAUCAGAUUAUUAUGUGCGAGAAUAGGCAGCUUUACUGAUUGCGAGCAAAGAUUGAAUAUCAUCAGGUCAGCAACUGUGGCAAUCUCAAAGCUCCAGCUCCAAAUUCCAGUGAGAACAUGAGUAGAAACCAGGCAAGUUCACCCCAAGUUUCCCAAACAUCUCGUGCACCUGUUGACCUUGUCACGGUUCUAGAUGUCAGUGGCAGCAUGGCAGGUACCAAGCUUGCAUUGCUCAAGCGAGCUAUGGGGUUUGUGAUACAGAACCUUGGUCCCAAUGACAGGCUUGCAGUAAUUGCCUUCUCAUCAACCGCCCGCCGGUUGUUUCCCCUUCGUAGGAUGUCUGAAACAGGACGGCAGCAAGCACUGCAAGCUGUUAACUCUUUAGUUGCAAAUGGAGGGACAAACAUUGCUGAAGGCUUGCGCAAGGGUGCCAAGGUAAUGGAAGAUCGCAGAGAAAAGAACCCUGUUGCCAGUAUUAUAUUGCUAUCUGAUGGGCAAGAUACAUAUACAGUUAGUAACAUGGGGAGCAGUCAACAGCAACCAAAUUACCAACUUCUUCUUCCAUUGUCUAUCCACAAUGAAAGUAGUUCUAAUUUUAAGAUUCCAGUGCAUGCUUUUGGGUUCGGGGCAGACCAUGAUGCUUCAUCAAUGCACUCAAUCUCAGAGAUAUCUGGAGGAACCUUCUCUUUCAUUGAAACAGAAGGUGUAAUCCAGGAUGCAUUUGCUCAGUGCAUUGGUGGACUUUUGAGUGUUGUGGUCAAGGACCUGCAGGUGAAUAUUGAGUGUGUUGAUCCAAGAGUCAGUCUUGGUUCCUUAAAAGCUGGAAGCUACCCCAAUCGUGUGAUGUCGGAUGGAUGCAUGGGAACUAUUGAUGUUGGCGACCUGUAUGCUGAUGAGGAACGAGACUUUCUAGUUUCAGUUAAUGUCCCAACUGAAAUUUCAAGCUCUGAAACUGCAUUGAUAAGGGUGAAAUGUGUUUACAAUGAUCCUUUGACAAAAGGCUCGGUGACUGUUGGAAGUGAUGAAGUUAGGAUUAGAAGACCUGAUGAAGCUGGACAACAAAGUGCAUCAGUUGAAGUGGAUAGGCAACAGAACAGGCUGCGUGCGGCUGAGGCGAUGCUCCUAGCGCGAACUACGGCUGAGAAAGGAGACCUGUCUGGUGCAGCAUCUAUUCUUGAAAACUGUCGCAAGGUGUUGUCAGAAACUGUUUCGGCCAAGUCUCAUGAUCGGCUCUGCAUUGCACUUGAUGCUGAGCUUAAAGAAAUGCAAGAGAGACUGGCAAGCAGACAUGUGUAUGAAGCAUCAGGAAGGGCAUAUAUUCUUUCAGGACUAAGCUCACACUCAUGGCAGAGAGCAACAGCACGAGGUGACUCGACGGAUGGUUCAAGCCUGGUUC
rnacentral:lncRNA from 1 species